rnacentral:rRNA from 1 species
UAUUGGUCAAUGGGCGGGAGCCUGAACCAGCCAAGUCGCGUGAAGGAAGAAGGUACUUAGUAUUGUAAACUUCUUUUGUCGGGGAACAAAGGCGGAGACGCGUCUCCGGAUGAGUGUACCCGAAGAAAAAGCAUCGGCUAACUCCGUGCCAGACGCCGCGGUAAUACGGAGGAUGCGAGCGUUAUCCGGAUUUAUUGGGUUUAAAGGGUGCGCAGGCGUUCUGUGAAGUCAGCGGUCAAAGCCCGGGGCUCAACCCCGGCCCGCCGUUGAAACUGGCAGUCUCGAGUUGGAGAGAAGUAUGCGGAAUGCGCGGUGUAGCGGUGAAAUGCAUAGAUAUCGCGCAGAACUCCGAUUGCGAAGGCAGCAUGCCGGCUCCACACUGACGCUGAGGCACGAAAGCGUGGGUAUCG